ACGAACGCUGGCGGCGUGCCUCAAACAUGCAAGUCGAGCGGGGUUCUGGAAGUGGGCGACCACGGAAGGGACCCAGCGGCGGACGGGUGAGUAACGCGUGGGUAAUCUGCCCAAGGGACCGGGAUAACACCUCGAAAGGGGUGCUAAUACCGGGUGACCCUGGUGCUCCGAGUGGGGGACCAGGGAUAGGUGGCCUCUUGACAAUGCUACUGCCCUUGGAUGAGCCCGCGUCCCAUUAGCUAGUUGGCGGGGUAAAGGCCCACCAAGGCGACGAUGGGUAGCCG
rnacentral:rRNA from 1 species